rnacentral:sRNA from 2 species
CGGGCCUGUAAGGUGAGGCUCCUAUACAAACAUAGGCUACUGCCCAGAAAUGUCGAGAGACGCCAAUGGGUAGAACAAGGAUAGUCGGGCGAAGGCUUUCCAUAAGGUAGCUAAAAGUAAUUCUACUUUUUACGUUGUAUAGUGUUGAAACUGAAAAAUAAACGAACU